rnacentral:miRNA from 1 species
GCUGCUGCUGCUGUUGCU